rnacentral:lncRNA from 1 species
AUGCCUUUUUUGUUAACUACAGGUGGUUGCUACAACAUGAAAGAUGGCUUGUGAAAUGGUCCUGAUGAGUUUUGUGGCAAUUGAAACCUUUGCUUGGGAUCUGGGAGGAGUUUACCAAUCUGGGUGCCUUUACUGUAGUUUUACCCAUAGGACAUGAAGAUGUAUUCCUUGCUUUCUUACUUGUUUUCACUUGAAUCAUUGAAGAUUGGAAAAUUUGUUGGGUGAUGUCAAAUGCCAGAAAAGGAGGUGUUAUAACAAACGUAGAAAUCUAUACAACUUCGACUUGUAUGAGGUAGUUUAACUCACUAAUUAAGGUUACUAAUGAAUGGGUUCCAAAUAUUGUUUCAUGAUGAAUGGUGAGUUUAAGGUUUUCGAUAAUCCUUCAUGGCGAUUUUGAAAGCCAGCUGUUACCAUAAAGAAGGGCGUCAUGGCGAUUGCGAAUACGGUGGCAACACUUAUAUGUUGUUUGGAGUAGUGCAAAUUUUAAUGUCACAUAC